rnacentral:rRNA from 1 species
ACUCCUACGGGAGGCAGCAGUGGGGAAUUUUGGACAAUGGGCGAAAGCCUGAUCCAGCCAUGCCGCGUGCAGGAUGAAGGCCUUCGGGUUGUAAACUGCUUUUGUACGGAACGAAACGGCCUUUUCUAAUAAAGAGGGCUAAUGACGGUACCGUAAGAAUAAGCACCGGCUAACUACGUGCCAGCAGCCGCGGUAAUACGUAGGGUGCAAGCGUUAAUCGGAAUUACUGGGCGUAAAGCGUGCGCAGGCGGUUAUGUAAGACAGUUGUGAAAUCCCCGGGCUCAACCUGGGAACUGCAUCUGUGACUGCAUAGCUAGAGUACGGUAGAGGGGGAUGGAAUUCCGCGUGUAGCAGUGAAAUGCGUAGAUAUGCGGAGGAACACCGAUGGCGAAGGCAAUCCCCUGGACCUGUACUGACGCUCAUGCACGAAAGCGUGGGGAGCAAACAGGAUUAGAAACCCGUGUAGUCCC